rnacentral:rRNA from 1 species
UAGGGAAUCUUCCACAAUGGGCGAAAGCCCGAUGGAGCAACGCCGCGUGCGUGAUGAAGGGUUUCGGCUCGUAAAACACUGUUGUAAGAGAAGAAUGACAUUGAGAGUAACUGUUCAAUGUGUGACGGUAUCUUACCAGAAAGGAACGGCUAAAUACGUGCCAG